GCUUAAUACAAAUACCACUUCCAACGGAAAGAAGUGUGUCACCUGUGUUACACCAGCAGACUGUACAAAGCCAAUAUUCUGUGAGGGAAAUGAGGAUCACUGCAUGAAAACAGCACUUGAUCUGGACAAACUGAAGAUCACUGCAAAAGGAUGUGCCUCAAGUAGUAUUUGCAGAGCUAACUUGUCGGCACAGUUGGGCUCCAUGUCUGAAGACUUGAGCUGCUGUGAGGGGAACCUGUGCAAUGGUGACAGGAAUCUGAACCAAGGUGCCAAGCAUGUGGGAGUCCUGUUGGGGUCUGUCGUCUCUGUCCUGCUGUUUCACUGAAGCAUGAGCCCUUCAAAGCAUCUCCCAGCAACACCUGCCCUCCCCUGCCUGGAUAUGGAGGCUGACAUUGUCAUUAUAUCAAUUAUAAUACUUUGCUUGGAUUAAUUAAUAUCUGCAUGAUUUAUUUGACUGAGGCUAGAACUGAGGCUUGAGUGUUGUUGUGAAAAUAAAUGAUCCCUUUUAUGUACAUUUAUUGUUCACAUU